rnacentral:tRNA from 1 species
GUAGUCGUGGCCGAGUGGUUAAGGCGACAGACUCGAAAUCUGUUGGGAUAUUCCCCCGCAGGUUCAAAUCCUGCCGACUACG